GGUCAUAAAAAUCAUAUUUAUAUUUAUUUGGGCCAAAAAUCACCUAACUUAACCAUAAAAUGGGUUUAAUCAUUCAAAGCCCAAAAAUCUCCUCUUUCCCUCUCCAUUUUCAGCCCAAGCCCACAAAGAAAGGAAGAGUUGACUUUGUGGUGCCAACUCGUUUUUACCUAAUGGACUUCCAUGCAAGCUCUCAUAUUUCCAUGCAACAAUCCUAUCACUCUAUCUCUCUUCUUCUCCCUUUCUUCCUCUCGGCUAAAUCCAAAUAAACACACACCCACACUUCACUUAAAAAUUCUCUCAAGAAGCUCUCUCCAUUUCUCUCUAAAUUUUUGAGAUCUAAGAGGUUUUCAAGGAGUUUCUUCCAUAAAAAUCAUCAUUCAAGGUAAGUUGGUGCUUAAAUCUAUGAUCUAACUCACUUCUUUUCAUCAAAAAUCACCUCUUAAUCCAUUCAAAUUCAUGAUCUUGCAUCUUAGAACCCACUAAGUUCCAGAUCCAUCCAAGGAACUUGCUAGGACCGAAAAUAGCACCAAACUUCUCCUAAUCUUCUUUAAAAUCGAAACCACAACUCAAGGUGAGCUUCAUACCCCUUUCUUUUCGGUUUUAAGAGUUUUAUGGGGGAGAAUACAAGAAAAUGUGUAGAUCUAUGUGUAUGAGUAUGCUAUGUGUGAUUUGAUGCAUGUAUGUGUGUGAUUUCAUGUGUUUUGUGAUGAAUAUGUUACCAAAAAGGGUGUAAACCCGAGAUCGAUGACAUGAGAAAGGAAACAAACAUAACCUAAGCUAUUUUACACUAAACAAGUCAAGAAUAAUAGCUUAUAAGGUCAUGAUGAACAUAUUCUAACAUAAAACCCAUUUUUGGGCUUAAAUUGUCAAAAAUACAAAACUUGGGGUAAAAAUCGACAAGUCACAGUUUCUUGAAGGUCAAAAUGGUCAAAAGAGUUUCUAUAAACAGUUUUCUGAACAUUAGAAAUUUCAAGGGACUUAAAAUGUAAAUUUUUAGCUUAAUGGGCUAAUUUUGGGCUUUUCGGCCCAAUAAGCCUCAAAAUGCGAAAUAUGAUAAAUUUUAGGGGCUGAAAUGAAACUUUCUGUAAAACAGGGGGUAAUUAGCACGACAAAAUCAUUUUAUGGGUCAAAAAUGCUUUUCAUUAUCAAAUGGGACCAAAAAUGUAAAGUUUUUAGAUUUUGGGCCAAAACUGUAAAAGUUGUGAAAAAUGGGGUUCUAACCGAGAAACACUAUUCUGGAGGGGUUGAAGCUGUCAACAAAAUAAAUUUUGGGUAAAAAUCAUGUUUUCAUCAAAUAAAUAAUACAAAAGUGUCAAGAAAAGGUUUUAACGACUAAAAAUGAAAUUCUUUUAUAUAAAAGGACCAAAAGUGUUAUUUUUAUAAAAGAAGGGUAGUGAAAAGGUCAAAUUCCACUUUUAAACAAAUUAAUUCAUUAAUACAAAAUACAAGAUCCACGACUACNUAAAAUGAGCAUUGUUCGGAAAAAGUGGGCGAGUGUUUAUGAAGAUUGUGAGUAUUUAAAAUUUGGGGGGUACUUUAGGAAAAUAUUAGACACAAAUGUACGCGUUGAGGUCUUGGCAUAAUGGCUGAGUUUUAAAUGGAUUGUUUAGUGCGAUAUUGGUAAAAUAAAAGUAAAUUUGCUUGGGGGCAAGCAAAGGCUAAGUGUGGGGUAUUUUGAUAUGUGUAUUUUUAUAUAUAUUUUUAUGCACUUUAUCUUAAUAUUUUGGCCUUAUUUACUCUAUUUUAGAACUAAAAAGUACUCAUAAUACUUUAAAUUAUGUUUUGCAGCUAUUUGUUGUCGAUAAAGCACAAAAGAAAAGACUGAAGUGGAAACCGGGCUUAGAAGCUAAAAGAAAGAAAAGAAUGCUGAGGUAGCGAGUACGCCCCGCGUACCUUAAGGUUACGCCCCGCGUACCUGCUUGUGCCAGAUAUACUUGAUCGCGUGAUUAUCUUGAGUACGCGCUGCGUAAUCCUAAGUACGCCCAGCGUACUUAGGUCGGCCACAAAGAUUAUAAAUGUCGAUUUUUAGCUAACCAGGAGGGGGGAUUCGACUUCUAACCUAAUUUAGUCGAUAAUUAACUUCUGUUAAGCCGUUUUGAGGGUCUAGAAGGCGGCCGGAAGGCCGUUAAGCUAAUGGGAGCAAAGAUCGAAAGGAUUGGAGAGCGGAUACAUGUCGGUAAUAAUAUGGGUUGCUAACGUGACCAUGCUUAGCUUUCCAUUGUGAUACUAUUAUGUGUUUAGUUUCUGAUUUAGGUGUAAAAACCUUUUACUUUUUGUUUAUGAUUGAAUGAAACCUUGAUUAUUGGACUAAUUGCUAUAUUGAAUUGUUUGUUUAUGUUUAAUUUAUCUUGCCAAGCUUGUUAAAAGAUCCUUAUGUGUUAAUGACAAUUAUUUGCUGUUAAUUGUCAAGAAAAUUAAGUUGUAUGAACAUCUGCUUGAUUACUUGUGUCUUAUGACUUUGAUGACCAUCAAUAUUAUAAGUCUAGAAAUAGCGAAUGCGAAACUAGGAUUAACUUGGGAAUAAAUAUGUUAACGUGUGAGCCUUGUUUGAUGACCAUCAAUAAGAGGUUAAUUGAACGACCAAUUUGAUUAACUAUUAUUACAAGUCUUGCUUGAUACGAACUGAACACUAGGAAACAUGUUAGUUUAAUCAACUGAUCACUGUUUGAAUUGACUUGUUUACUAAAGGAUUAGUUAUAGUGAACGCGAAUCUAAUCAUUUUAGGAAUCAAAUGAACAUGAAUAAAUGAAUUUAUGUAUGCAAUUGUCUAUGCUUUUAAGGUGUAAUUUAUCUACACCAAAGUACCUGAAGAGAUUUGCUUUCCUGUUAGUUUAUUGAGAUUUGUUAAUUAAUUGUUCGUUUGAGAUUCAAUUACCAUUUCUUUAUUCCUUUCGUGUGUCCUGUAACCUAUAAUCAAAUAUUUUAAAUUAAUUCACCACCGUUCCUUGUGAUCGUCACCCAACUUUCCUAAGCUAUACUGUAAUCUGACUAGGUACACUGCCUAUAAGUGCAUAGUUAGUCUAAGUUUGUUAGGUUAUAAAUAUCAAAAUUAGUGGGUACUUCCGUGCACAUCAAUACGCGAUAACUACGAUGAGUAAACUUACAAACUUUGGGCUUGGAAGUUUCAAAUCAUGCUUGUUGGGCCUUGCUAGCCCAUUAACAUGAUCUUUGGGCCCAAAAGGAAUAUGCUUAUGUGCUAUUGGGCCUCCUAUGACCCGAUUUCAUGUAAAAGGACUUUCAAUGGCUCUAAUGUGCUAUUGGGCCCUAGUGGCCCAUUAGUAUUGCUAGUAAGGUCAAGAAAUCAAAUGCGAGUUGGGCCAACAUGCCUUUCGCAUUCCCGACAGCCUAAAUAACUCACGGAAUAUAACGGGACUUCGUACUCCCCUUUUUUCCUCGUUUGUUAGGCUUACGAGUAAUCAAGGUAAACAGAUUCAGGGCGUUAAUCAAAAGUAAUCAUGGUUGUUGGAUUAAGUGAGUAGUGAUGGGCGACGCCUCUAAGGAUCAUUCGGAACCUGUAGUUAUAAACUAGACAUUUUCAAAUGCAUGAUUAUAACGACUCGCAAACCCUAAUUAAUCCAAAGCCACUCGAGAAAUCAAUAAUCAAUCGCCGUGAUGGUAUAACAAAUUGGGAAUUCACUGUGUUUUAUGUAAUGGGAAAACAUUGGGUUUUCUUGGGAAGUUCAACAUUUUCAUUUGUGUGAUCAUUACAGAAGUUCAACAAUUAUACAUGUUUUGAAAAUCAACAAGCAUAUAUUCACGGAUCUGAACACUUUUUAUAAACAAUGAUCUUUUCAGAAAAUAUCGGAUUUUCUGGGUUUUUACAAACUACACCAAAUCAUUUUACCACAACAUUGCUUAUGAACUCACCAACAUUUCAUAUGUUGACGUUUUUCAAAAUUAACUUGUAUUCUCAGGUAACAGGUAAAUCGGAGAAUAAGUACCCAGUAAUGUCAGGGUGUUUUGCUUAUGAUAUCUAUCAGACAGUUUAUGUUAUUAAAUUGUAAUGUUUAAAACAAUGUACUAUAUUUAAACAAUAUCAUUUGUAUCAUUUCGAUGCUUGGUGAUGAUUUAUGUUAUGAUUCAUGUAUAUUCAUUGUGAUGGUAUUCAAUUUAAGUUACAAGAGCCCUUGGACGUUUCCGCCGUUUGGUUCGGGGGUGUGACAGGUUGGUAUCAGAGCUCUAUUUAUAGUGAACUAGCAUAUCUAACCAUACAUUGAUAUGCAACUAUAAACCAAAAAGAGGGACUAACAUAACUCUGAACAAAACAAGUAAAACACAACAAUAAAACAUCCUUGCUUGUUUGAAUUAGGAAAAAGAACAUAAUACCGAACCAAACAAGAUAAUGCUAGCAUCUUGGUUAAGUCAGGACUGUUCAUAGUUGUAUCAAGGAGUGGAUGCAGCCUGAUCAACUACAUUUCCUCCAAGGUACAACUAUCACAUGUCCCGAGGAAAUCGUGAUGACUAGGGAAUCUAAAAACAUACCCCUUUAUCACCAAGAAGAGAACAUUAGCUCGAUCUAUACAAUAAUGGUAGCGUCCUAGGAGUAAUGAUAGUUUAUUCGUAUACCUCCUCUCAGUCGCUAUGGAAGGGGAGCAGUAGGGCAUUCAGUUUCAUUAGGUCCUCGUGGCCCAUGGGAGGAUCAAGGAUGAGCCAGAGGUAGAUCAAGGAAAGGCACACGACAAUGGACCUGAAGAGGAACAGGAUGAAUACGUGAUGGUUGAUUUCGAUUAUGAUGAGUUCGACCAGGAGCCAAACAAGGAAAAGGGCGUAGAGGAGGCGUGUAGUGAAACUCACCAGUUGGAAGCCCCGUCAAAUUUCCGCAUGUUUCAAGGGGUGGAUACAGACUACUUACACGCUCUCGAGGAGGCAGUUAUCAGCCUGAAGCUUCAACUCAUCAUGGCCAAGGCAAGGGCUACACGAGCCGAGUGAAAAGUAGAGGUAAUCACCCAAGAGGUGGAAGAACUGGCUGAACUUCUGGUGUGUCACCUCGACGAUUGAGCGUUGUCGUCAUCCUUACUAAUAGGACCUGCUCUACUACCUGCUAUAUAGAACCCACCGCGACUAGGGUUAGCCGUAUCAGUCCUCAGUACUAGUACUAUUAUCUAUGCUAUGUACCAUCGACUCUAUGUUUAAGUGAUUACACUACUCAUAGAGUCGUUAUGCUGCCGAACUUAUACCGCUUAUGUAUGCUCUUUCGAGCAAAAUUUUCAUGUAUCAAAGUUCAGAUAAUGUUAAUGAAAAGUUUUAUGUGUUUACUGUGAUGUUUUAAUCUGCUACGAGUUACAUAUCCAUGAUUGUGUGCUAAUUUGUGAAAUUACUUAAGUUGUGCCACACACCUAGUUUAUAGGAUCACAAUCUCACAAGAAGCACAGACACUCAACAUCUUUCCAUUCCAUGGCAGAAAGAUGCCUCGACGACCAACCCGCAGAAACCCUGAGCCAAACCCGCCCGAGUUCAACCCUGUUGCUUUUCAGGCAGCGGUAUCUGCUGCAGUUACCGCGGCUAUGGCACAAAUUCACCAAGGGAACAAUGGAGGAGUCAACGGACAAGGGGCUGGAAGUUCGAACAACGGGGUAAAUCAAGGACCUACCAAAACAUGCUCCUACAAAUAUUUCAUCAAUGCCAAACCAUGAACCUUUAACGGCACUGGAGGAAUGAUUACCCUUAAACGAUGGAUCGAGAAGGUGGAAUCGGUGUUCGAGAUAUGUGAAUGCCCUGAGGAGAUGAAGGUGAAGUUUGCCGCAUGCACUUUCAUUGACCAAGCACUCACUUGGUGGAACGGACACGUGGAAGCCAUGACACUCCCCGUAGCCAAUUCCAUGCCAUGGGUAGAGAUGAAAGAAAUGCUGAUGGCCGAUUACUGCCCUCGUGGCGAAAUUCAGAAAAUGGAACAAGAGCUGUGGAAUCUGUAACACCCGUGUUUCUGGGCUUGCCAUUUUAGCAAUGUAAUAGUCUAGGUUAACCUUUGUAACCCCAAUUUGAAAUAAUAAGAACAUAUUAUUAUUUGAGUAUUAUGUGUUUUGUGUUUAAUUGAUUAAUUAUGUGAUGUGAUUAAUUAAGAAUAAAAUAAGCAUCAAAAUUUAAGUGUAAAAUAAGCUUGAUAUUAUUGGAUAAUGUUGUAGUAGUUGAAACGAGGUUUCCGAAUAUAUAUAGAACGCCCAAAUCUGACUUCGUAUGAGGAAGUUAUGAUUUUCUGAAGUUUCGACUUAGCGGUAUUCAGCCCGAAUACUCGAUUUGAGAUCGAACGGUUUUUAGCCGAAACAAUCUAAACGAGAAUCGAAGUUCUCGUUGUUAGUAGUGAAACGAUGAAAAGAUAGGCAAGAACGGACGUCGGACGAAGAAGUUAUGAAUUUAUAACGAAGUUUUUCUGUCCCGGCCUCCUAAAAAUAAUUAAUAAAAAUAAAUCAAAAUUAGUUGACGGAGUCUAAACGAAAGUUGUAGAGCUUAGUCUCACCUACGCGUGGAUAUAUUUAAUAUUUAAAUUUUAAUUCAAAUUUUCGAUAUUAUCCGAAGAGGAGUCAGCAGACUCAUUCGAAGUACGCCUAGCGUACUGGUGUAUGCCCAGCGUACCACUCGAGUGCUCCGGAGUCGUAAGCGAUGACGUAGAGGGCCGAUGACGCAAGGGAUGACGGCUUCUGAGGCAGUACGCCCCGCAAAACCCCGAGGAUCAGCCUAUAAAAGGGGAUGCGAAGACAACCGAUUUUCUUUUACAACCCCUUCCAUUUUCUCUCUAGUUUUCCUCGUUUUGCGUGCCGUUUAUACCCCGCAGCCUCGAUAAUAUUCCCGAGCCCCGAAGCAAGAUCCGAAGCCCCGAGGAUCCCGAAGAGCGUUAUUCCCGAGCCGAAGCUCUGCCCGCGAGGAGCCCGGUUUUUGUGAAGAUCUUCCAGAUCUACGGAGAGACACUACUUCUGCAAGCCGUAGUGCUGCCCGAUCAUCUUCUGAUCAAGUGAGUGUGUAGUCAUUUUCAUUCCAACGCAAUAUUAUGAAGUAUUUUAUAUAAAAUACGUGCUAUGUGUAUAUAUUUUGUUGUUAUAUGUGUGAAUGUAUAUUCACUCUCUUCUAUCUCGUAGAUCUGAUUUAUUCUCUAUGAAAUACGUGUUAUGUGUGUAUGCCUCAUCUGUUAUGUGGAAUAUGUAUUGAUUAAAGCAUGCUAUACAGGUUUUUAAACAAUGUAUAAAAAUGUAUAUUUUUAUCUACUAAUAUGUUGGGUAGAACAUGGGUAGAUAAUUGGUGUGAAAUAAACAGAUGAGAGGCCUCGGUGUUAUUGGUGUUAUUCUAGUCAUUCAGCAGAGUAUGGAUGACGACCACGGACUAUUCUAGACUGUCCUGUGGAACACUAGCAGGCUCAUUACCUGUAGGUGUUGUGAACGACGUGUUCACCGGUGUACUCUAUCCCCCACAUGGUUGCCUUUAGGACACUUAUUGUUGAGGAAGCCCCUCUGCAGUAAUGUCCGUCCCGAUGAAAAUCCUGAAUUAGGUUCCUUAUAAUAGAUGUUAUUUUAGGGACGUAAAGUGAGGAUAACGGGAAUGGGUAAUCGGGUUUAUUGUGGAUUGUUGAAAUUAAAUAUAAUUAUUGUGGGUUGAAAACCCUAUAUGCUCACCAGGCUCCCAAGCCUGACCCACUCAGUUUAUUUGUAUUACAGGAAGUGGCGCAAGAGCUUAAGAUGGGCGAAUCAUCAAGUUGUUUUGUUUACAAGUCUGUAUAUGUAUAUAUUUUGUUGAAUGACUUGUAAUGCUAUCGUUUAUGCUUUAUGAUCUGUAUCAGAACAUGACAUCCCGACUUUUGAUUAUGAAAUGAAAUCAUAUUUCUUUAUGAAAUGUUUUGAUAAAUAUCUAUUUUAUCCUGUUUUGUUUUUGGGAACAAAUUCCGCAUCUCCUUUAAAAUUAAAAGAAUUUACUCUGAAAAUGUUUAAAAAGCAUAAUUGAAAUCGGUCUUUUCUGGCCGAGAUUUCGGGGAUGUCACAGUUGGUAUUAGAGCCUUAGUUUAAGCGAACUAGGAAUUUGUAGGAUUUUUAGACUUAAACUUAGUAUGCUAAGUGGAGAUUGUGAGAUGUGUGUCUGAUAAAUUUUAGACACGAGCACUAGUUUAUUUUAGGAAAGUUGCCUAAAAUGCUUUUAUGUGCUAAAUGUUAUAUGUUGCCAUAUAUGAUAUUAUUUGUUCGGAUCUACGGUUUGUUGCCAACCGGAUCUGAAGGUUUAUGUGUUUAGGAUUCUAAGCGUAUGUAUACGAUAUUAGAACUAGCAUGUAAUCGUUUGGAGUAAUAAGGUGAAAUUAUUCGGUGUGUAGAUCAAAAAUGGUGAGAACAAGAAGCGGAGUUGGAAAUGCUGAUGAAAACAGGAAUCAACCGCCUGUAAUUCAACAAGUACCUGUCGUAGCUGAUGCACCUGAGCCGAUAACAAUGGCUGGUGUACAAAUGAUGAUUCAAAUGAUGUUGGAUCGUCAGAUGGAAGAAACAAGACGCCUGCUUAGGCAGAAUCGUGAAGAACCGUCAAUUCAAGCGGAAGAGCCCGAGGAGAAUGGAGGGCAGUCUGAAGGAGAAAACUUUAGUGGGAUCAUUGGUCAAGACGAACAACCAGUGGUUAGACGCAAUAACCAGUAUGGAGGAAAUGAUGGUCGUGGGUGCAAGUAUAAGGAUUUCAUGGCAUCCAAACCACCAUGUCUAUCCGGAAGCCCGACGCCGGUGCAAGUUAUGGACUGGGUCUCCGAAAUGGAGACUAUGUUUGAAAGUUGCGAAUGCAGCAACAGGCAGAAGACCGCUCUUGCGAUCCCUCUGCUAAAAUCUGGCGUGUUGAGUUGGUGGAAGCUGUUAGCUGACUCUAUGCCCAAGGGAGAAGCAAGCAAAAUGUCUUGGGAAGACUUUGUGGAACAACUAAAAAUGCAAUACUGCUCCGAGCAGGACCUUCUGGAAAUCAGUAAUGAGUUUCAGAAUUUGAAGAAAGGGAAAUUGAGCGUUACUGAAUACGCUGCAAGUUUCACAGAAAAGAUGAAGUUUAUCCCAUAUUUGGUGCCUACAGAACUCUCUAAGGUCAACAAGUUUGCCCUUGGACUACCAGCGGACUAUGGUCCAAUGGUUAAGCAAGCAACCACAUUGAAAGCCGCCAUCUGGGCUGCUAGAAAUGUUGAGACCCAGAUCAGGGAAAAAGGUCUGGAAAGGUCAGAGGUUGGCGAGAAAAGGAAAAUCGAUGGAUUUUCAGGGUCCAGCAAGAAAAGUAAAUUCUCGAAGUCUAGUUCGAGAGGAAGUGGAGGAAAGGUAGAGGCGAAAUGGUGCGACAAGUGCAAGAAGAAGCAUCAUGGGAAGUGUGGCGGGGAAACCACAUGCUUCAAAUGUGGAAAGCUAGGGCAUUAUGCCAAUGACUGCACCUUCACCAAGAAUGUUUGUUAUGGUUGUGGUGAGGAGGGGCACAUCUCAAGGGAUUGUCCGAAAAAGAAGGAAGCAGCAAGACCCAACAUUCCGCCAAAGCCAAAGGCGAGAGCAUUCCAGAUGACACUGGAAGCUGCUAAAGAUGAAGCUGAUGUCGCUUCAGGUACCUUUCUCGUUAACAAAUUGCCUGCCCAAAUUUUAUUUGAUUCUGGAGCCAACUACUCCUUUAUAUCGCAUGAAUUUGGUAGAAAACUAGCUUUGCCUGUUGAUAGACUAGAUAAUGCUUUAUUAGUCGAAGUUGCUAGUGGCAAGUUUGUACCUGUUAGCCAUCGUAUGAAAAACAUCUUAAUUGAUCUGAAUGGAAAUAAGUUCCACGAGGAAUUAUUGCCUAUCGAACUUAACGGUUUCGACAUCGUUUUGGGAAUGGAUUGGCUUAGCGCCAAUGAUGCCGAAAUUUUAUGCAAGAAGAAAAUAGUGAAAGUGAACCCGCCUGGGAAGGAAUCGUUUAUGGUGUACGGAGAUAAACGCAGAGUAAAUUCUGGAAUCAUUUCUCUAAUGAAAGCCAGAAAAUGUUUGACCAAGGGGUGUACAUCAUACUUAGCAUUCGUGAUCGAUGCUAAGAAGGAAAAGAAGGUGAUGCAAAAUAUUCCUGUUGUGUGUGAUUAUCCGGAAGUAUUUCCCGAAGAUCUUCCUGGAUUACCGCCCGAUCGACAAGUAGAAUUUCGUAUUGACUUGUUGCCCGGAACAACGCCAAUUGCAAAAGCACCUUAUCGAUUAGCACCGACGGAGAUGAAGGAGCUAAUGAUGCAACUUCAGGAGUUAUUGGACAAAGGUUUCAUUAGACCUAGUUCAUCACCCUGGGGAGCUCCGGUGUUAUUCGUAAAGAAGAAAGAUGGAAGCAUGAGGAUGUGCAUUGAUUACCAAGAGCUGAAUAAGGCAACAAUAAAGAAUAGAUAUCCGUUGCCGAGGAUUGAUGACCUAUUCGAUCAACUACAAGGUUCAAGUUAUUUUUCAAAGAUCGACCUGAGGUCAGGAUAUCAUCAGCUGAAAGUAAGAGAGCAGGAUAUAGAGAAGACUGCAUUCAGAACGCGAUAUGGACACUAUGAGUUCUUGGUUAUGUCGUUUGGACUAACCAAUGCUCCAGCAGCAUUCAUGGAUUUAAUGAACAAAGUUUGUAAUCCGUUCCUUGAUAAAUCUGUGAUAGUGUUCAUAGAUGACAUUCUGAUUUAUUCGAAAAGCCAAGAAGAGCAUGGCAGACACUUGCAAGAAGUGUUGGAAGUCUUGAAGAAGGAGAAGCUGUAUGCGAAGUUCUCCAAAUGUGAUUUUUGGAUUCGUGAAGUCCAAUUCUUGGGUCACGUGGUCAACCAAGAAGGGAUAAUGGUUGAUCCGGCAAAGAUCGAAGUUGUAAUGAAGUGGGAACAACCGAAAAGUCCCACGGAGAUCCGAAGCUUUUUAGGAUUGGCCGGAUAUUACCGAAGGUUUAUCCAAGGCUUUUCUUCGAUCGCUAGUCCAUUAACAACUUUGACCCACAAAGGAGCUACUUAUGCUUGGAGUGAUAAGCAUAAAGAAGCAUUCAAGAAGCUAAAUAAGAAACUAUGCGACGCAUCGAUACUUUCUCUACCCGAUGAAGUUGAAGACUUCGCUGUUUAUAGCGACGCGUCUGGUGUUAGAUUGGGUUGUGUUUUGACCCAGAAAGACAAGUUGAAUUUCGAAUUGAUCUUGUGCCUGGAGCGACUCCCAUCGCUAAAUCGCCUUACCGAUUGGCUCGUGCUGAGAUGCAGGAAUUGGCCAGCCAACUCAGUGAACUCCUGGACAAGGGAUGCAUCCGACCCAGCUUCUCGCCAUGGGGAUCUCCAGUCCUCUUCGUUAAGAAUAAGGACGGAUCUUUUAGCAUGUGCAUCGAUUACAGAGAAUUGAAUAAGCUCACAGUCAAGAAUCGCUAUCCACUCCCACGAAUCGACGAUCUAUUUAACCAGCUCCAAGGAGCUAGUUACUUCUCUAAGAUAGAUCCAUGGUCUGGGUACCAUCAACUCAAGGUUCGGGAAGAGGAUAUUCCCAAAACCGCUUUCCGAACUCGUUACGAACAUUAUGAAUUUGUCGUAAUGCCUUUCGGUCUAAAGAAUGCCCCUGCCGCAUUCAUGGACCUAAUGAAUCGAAUCUGCCGACCAUUCCUCGACAACUUUGUUAUUGUAUUCAUUGACGACAUUCUAGUUUAUUCUCGAAGUGAAGAAGAGCAUGGCCAACAUCUCCGACAAAUCCUGGAAACCCUGCGAACUGAGAAGCUAUACGCAAAACUCUCCAAGUGUGAGUUCUGGCUCCGUAGCGUAAACUUUUUGGGUCAUGUUGUUAGUCAGGAAGGAAUACAUGUGGAUCUUUCUAAGGUCAAAGCCAUCGAAGGAUGGGCAGUCCCAACAACACCCACAGAAAUUCGCCAAUUCUUAGGUCUUGCAGGUUACUACAGGAGGUUCGUUCAAAACUUCUCUAAGUUCGCCAAUCCACUUACCUCUCUUACACAAAAGGGCGUACCCUUCAAAUGGACGGACAAACAAGAAGCUGCAUUCCAAACACUGAAGCAAGCACUCUGCAGUGCCCCGGUGCUAUCACUACCAGAGGGAACGGAAGAUUUCGUAGUUUACUGUGAUGCGUCAAAUCAGGGUUUAGGUUGCGUUCUCAUACAGCAUGGAAAGGUGAUAGCUUACGCGUCCCGGCAACUAAAGACACACGAAGUGAACUAUACAACCCACAAUCUGGAAUUAGGAGCAGUGGUCUUCGCCCAGAAGAUUUGGAGGCACUACCUUUAUGGUACGAAGUGCACCAUCUUCACGGACCACAAGAGUCUCCAACACAUCUUGAAUCAAAAAGAGUUGAAUAUGAGGCAAAAAAGAUGGAUUGAACUAUUAAACGAUUAUGAGUAUGAAAUCAAGUACCACCCAGGCAAAGCUAACGUGGUAGCUGAUGCCUUGAGUCGGAAAGAGUACUCAAAUCACCGUGUGAAAACUCUCUCAAUAACCAUCCAAUCUCACCUAACCACUCAGAUCGAGGCAGCCCAGUCAGAUGCCAUGAAGGCGGAAAACAGAACAAGCGAAGCGUUACGCGGGAUGGAGAAGAAUCUCGAGCUGAAAGAGGGAUGAGUAUAUUAUUUCAUGAACCGUAUUUGGGUCCCUAAACUUGGAGGAUUUAGGGAGGUAGUCAUGAAUGAAGCUCACAAGACGCGAUACUCCAUCCAUUCGGGUUCGGACAAAAUGUACUUGGACAUUAAACAACAUUAUUGGUGGCCUAACAUGAAGGCAGAGAUUGCCACCUAUGUUAGCAAAUGCCUUACUUGCGCUAAAGUAAAGGUGGAAUACCAGAAGCCCUCGGGGUUAUUACAGCAACCAGUAAUUCCCGAGUGGAAAUGGAAAAGGAUUACUAUGGAUUUUGUGACCAAGUUACCCAAGUCGUCAGAUGGAUUAGACACUAUAUGGGUAAUAGUUGACAGAUUGACGAAAUCCACUCAUUUUCUGCCAAUAAAAGAAUCCUACAGGAUGGAGAGAUUGACAAGAAUAUACAUUCGAGAAAUCGUGAGACUUCACGGAGUGCCAGUGUCUAUCAUCUCAGAUAGAGAUAAUAGAUUCACUUCACGUUUUUGGCAAUCACAUCAGAAAGCACUGGGAACCCAUCUCGACAUGAGCACUGCUUAUCACCCACAAACGGAUGGUCAAAGCGAACGAACCAUUCAGACGCUUGAAGACAUGCUUCGUGCAUGUGCGAUAGACUUUGGGAAGUCCUGGGAUACCCACUUACCCUUAGUUGAAUUCUCAUACAACAACACUUACCAUUCGAGCAUCAAAGUUGCUCCUUUCGAGGCACUGUAUGGACGUAAGUGUAGAUCACCGUUGUGUUGGGCUGAGGUAGGCGACACUCAGCUAGCGAGGGAACUAGCAUCAGACAAGACGUUAACAGGACCGGAGAUCAAACGUGAAACCAUGGAAAAGAUAGUUCAAAUCAGAGCUCGACUACAAGCAUCACGCGACCGACAGAAGAGCUACGCUGAUAAACGGCGAAAGCCCUUGGAGUUUUAGGUCGGGGAUCAAGUGCUGUUAAAAGUUUCUCCCUGGAAAGGGGUUAUUCAUUUUGGAAAACAGGGAAAAUUGAAUCCACGAUACAUUGGACCUUUCAAUAUUCUUGUCCGAAUUGGCCCAGUGGCGUACAGACUGCAGCUACCCGCUGAGCUCAGCAGCGUACACCCCAUGUUCCAUGUUUCCAACCUAAAGAAGUGUUUAUCCGAUGAAACUCUCGUCAUUCCCCUUGAUGAAAUUGAAAUCAACGAGAAUCUCCUGUUCGUUGAGGAACCAGUCGAAAUCAUGGACAGGGAGGUGAAGUGUACCAACCAAAGUCGCAUUCCGAUUGUGAAGGUACGGUGGAACACGAAAUGCGGGCCAGAAUUCACAUGGGAACGCGCAGAUCUAAUGAAGCAGAAGUACCCUCAUCUAUUCUAGCAUUUUCAAGUCUAGCUUUCAAAAGAAUUUCGGGACGAAAUUACCUCUAACGGGGGGAUGAUGUCACAACUAGGAAUUUUGAUGCCUUGUAACCACUGAACAAUGAUAACAAAUAUGAACGAACAAUGUGAAAGCAUGUAGGAUGCUUAUUCAAUAACAAGAAAAUUUCAAUCAAACACUUCAUACAAGCACUGCAAAUGGUCAACAAAGAAUUAGAAACCCUAUAAAUCCCGGUGUAAGUCCAUUCUGGACUAGGAUUUCCUUAUUGGGCCCAAUGGGCCAAUAAGCUUCCAAUUUGACUAUCUUGGGCUUAGAACUCUUAAAUGGGCUCUAAUUGGACCCACUCCAUAUAUUCUAAAUAUUUUGGGCCAUAUUGGGCCUAGAAUGAAAUAAAAUACCUAAAUGGACCUUAUUGGGCCAUAACUAACCUAAUUUAGCCCUAAUAGGUCAUAAAAAUCAUAUUUAUAUUUAUUUGGGCCAAAAAUCACCUAACUUAACCAUAAAAUGGGCUUAAUCAUUCAAAGCCCAAAAAAUUUUCUCUUUCCCUCUCCAUUUUCGGCCCAAGCCCACAAAGAAAGGAAGAGUUGACUUUGUGGUGCCAACUCAUUUUUACCUAAUGGACUUCUAUGCAAGCUCUCAUACUUCCAUGCAACAAUCCCAUCAC
rnacentral:lncRNA from 1 species